rnacentral:rRNA from 1 species
UACAGAGGUGGCAAGCGUUGUUCGGAAUUACUGGGCGUAAAGGGCGCGCAGGCGGUCGUUCAAGUCGCGUGUGAAAGCCCCCGGCUCAACUGGGGAGGGUCACGCGAUACUGAUCGACUGGAAGGCAGGAGAGGGUAGUGGAAUUCCCGGUGUAGUGGUGAAAUGCGUAGAGAUCGGCAGGAACACCCAGGGGGAAACCAGUCGACUGGGCAUCGUACUGACCGCUGAGGUGCGAGAGCGUGGGGAGCGAACCGG